rfam:TPA: Bos taurus chromosome 11, whole genome shotgun sequence.
UCCCUGAUAUCUCAGUCAGUAAAGAAUCUGCCUGCAAUGCAGGAGACCCUGGUUUGAUUCCUGGGUUGAGAA